rnacentral:rRNA from 1 species
GACGAACGCUGGCGGCGUGCUUAACACAUGCAAGUCGAACGGUAAGGCCCUUUCGGGGGUACACGAGUGGCGAACGGGUGAGUAACACGUGGGUGAUCUGCCCUGCACUUUGGGAUAAGACUGGGAAACUGGGUCUAAUACCGGAUAGGACUACGCGAUGCAUGUCGUGUGGUGGAAAGCUUUUGCGGUGUGGGAUGGGCCCGCGGCCUAUCAGCUUGUUGGUGGGGUGAUGGCCUACCAAGGCGACGACGGGUAGCCGGCCUGAGAGGGUGUCCGGCCACACUGGGACUGAGAUACGGCCCAGACUCCUACGGGAGGCAGCAGUGGGGAAUAUUGCACAAUGGGCGCAAGCCUGAUGCAGCGACGCCGCGUGGGGGAUGACGGCCUUCGGGUUGUAAACCCCUUUCAGCACAGACGAAGCGUAAGUGACGGUAUGUGCAGAAGAAGCACCGGCCAACUACGUG